AGGACGAACGCUGGCGGCGUGCCUAACACAUGCAAGUCGAGCGAGGAGAUCCUCGGGAUGAUCCUAGCGGCGGACGGGUGAGUAACACGUGGGCAACCUGCCUCAUAGAGAGGAAUAGCCUUCCGAAAGGGAGAUUAAUACCUCAUAACAUUGCAGUUUCGCAUGAAACAGCAAUUAAAGGAGCAAUCCGCUAUGAGAUGGGCCCGCGGCGCAUUAGCUAGUUGGUGAGGUAACGGCUCACCAAGGCGACGAUGCGUAGCCGACCUGAGAGGGUGAUCGGCCACAUUGGGACUGAGACACGGCCCAGACUCCUACGGGAGGCAGCAGUGGGGAAUAUUGCACAAUGGGGGGAAACCCUGAUGCAAGCAACGCCGCGUGAGUGAUGACGGCCUUCGGGUUGUAAAGCUCUGUCUUCAGGGACGAUAAUGACGGUACCUGAGGAGGAAGCCACGGCUAACUACGUGCCAGCAGCCGC
rnacentral:rRNA from 1 species